AUAUCAUAGUUGGGGCAUUUGACUAACUUUCCAUUAAAACUCUCCCAUACUUCAUGAAGGGGCUCCACACUCCUUUGUUUAAAGUUGAUGAUCUCAUAUCUUGCAU
rnacentral:snoRNA from 1 species